rnacentral:rRNA from 1 species
AUGUGCGGGUGUGCGGAGGCGCUCGUGAGGGCGGUGGUGGCCUUCUUCGAGGCCUUCCUCGUCGACUGCUUUCUCUUCUGGUUCCGCCGCCGCCGCCGCCCCGGCCCCGACAGCCCCGCCUCCGCCCACCGGGAUCCGCUCGUGCCCAAGGACUGGACAGGGGAGGCGCUCCCGGCCUCGGACGAAGAGAAAGGUUUGCAGGUCAUUGUUAUGAAGGCCGUCACGGGAAGGCGUGGGGGAUUUGGCACAAGGCCGAUGAUCGAGUCUAUGCUCUCUCCUCCAUGGAAAGACCUAUUUUCUCUGAUGAUUGUUUUGAGGUGGAAGACCAUGUGA